ACAUCUUUAUUUACAGUCAGGGCAUUUGAAAUAACCUUGAUUUUCAUCUUCUUCUUCCCUUAUUAAAUUGACAGCCCUGCGCUAAGUCUUCCUCUUCUAACCCUUUCUAAGCCUUCAUUUCUUCCCAGAGAAAGAAGUCAUUUACCUUCCAAUGUCACAUUUCAGGACUAGUAGCUAAAGUCCCUCUUUGUAGGAAAAAAAAAAUAUGCAGGCUUAGCUUCUGUCAUGAGAUCAUCUGUCUCAGCCCCAUUUAUUUCUCCUGGGUGAUGAGAAGACCUCUGCUUCUCUGUAAACAGGCGCUAGGAAAGAAGGAGUUAAAGUGAAGGCAGGCUCGCUGGUUUGCUGAGAUCUGUCAGAGGCUGACUGGCUGGCUACAUAUCUGUCUCUGGAACAAUAGGUACCUGUAUUCUGCACGGGCUUCUGGGCAGGCAGCACUAACACUCAGGAGAAGGUCUGCCUCUGUCUGCACCUUCCUGGUGAGAAUUCCCCGUAACAGUUCUAGUUUUCAGAGGGGACAGAGAGAAAGAGAGUGAGGGGGGGAAAGGCUGUCUACUCUGUUGAUGAAGGACAAAGCUUUGAUCAUUUUUGUUCAGGCUUCACUUGGCUAGAGGUUUUAGGUUCUUAGACUCCAGUCAGUAGUUGUGUUGGCUUUCUUUCUUUCUCUUAGUCUCUCUGUAGUGUGCUUCUCUCUCUCUCUCUCUCUCUCUCUCUUUCUCUCUCUCUCUCUCUCUCUCUCUCUCUCUCUCUCUCUCCCCUUUCACAUUCUCCUUCUGUUGCCCUCCCUCUCUCAUUUCUCCUCAUAGGUUCAAUGCAGGCAGAUGAGUGUCACAGAUGUAGCUGAGGCAUUGAAUAAUCAACAUAUCGGAGCCAAUUCCCAGGACGGCAAGAGGGGGAACCGGCAGAGAUGACUGACCCUGGAGGACAAGAGCAUUCUUCUGACAAGUUUUAGCAUGGACUAUCCUCAGGAAAAUGAGAUCCAGGAAGAGUGACGCCCUCCUCGAACUGAAAGAUACUCAGGCUGAUGGAGUCAGGGAUGAAGUGGUUUAUCAACAGCACAGGAUGUCUGCAGGGAACAGAACUUAUUCAGACAUGGCCCAGAUUGUCUGCCCGUGGGGACUGAGGGACCUCUGAGGGUUACAUCAGGAAGGAGAGGCUGUUUCUACAGGUGCCACAGAAAAAUCGAUGCUGAGCCUCGGAUUAUUGGAUCCCAUAGAACCGUGGAGACUUGGCAGUGAAAUUCUUCCAAAGGUGAGCAGGGGCAUUGAUUUUCCUUCUCAUGCCUGAAGAAAUACGGCAAAUGGAACAG
rnacentral:lncRNA from 1 species